rnacentral:sRNA from 1 species
AAGUAAACCCAACCACAAAAAAAUGGUAUUGUUAAUUCUAAAAUGCAAGUAUAAGCAGAGAUUGUUCAACAGGUAGAGAGAGGGGCACAGUAAAUAUUUGCAUUUUUACACUGUCUUGCUUCAAGGAAUGAAAGCCAAGUAAAGAGUGUUGGAAACAACAGCAAGCUUGCAUAGGCGACAAAAUUCUUCAAACCUGAAUUCCAAGUCCUGUCAGCAUCCCCUCAGCAGAUGAGCUUUGAAGAAGACUGGGAUCCGAACACUGGCAGCGCCACAUGAAUGGGGUUCAGGACAUUGACAUUGCUUGUUUUUUUUAGCAUUCUGUGAAUUUCCUAUUACAUCAGUUUCAUGAUUCAGCAUUUUCCUUUUCAUUUAUUUACAGUAAUAUAUAGCGAGAUAACCUAAGCUCGAUCGCAGGAUCCUGGAACAUAAGGUAGGCUGGGCAGCAAGGGUGUAGCCUUCUGUAAAUUUACUAUUUGCUUAGAACUCAGGGACAAAUGGGAGAAAGCAAGUCAUCCAAAGAACUGGGAAAUAUCUCCUCACCUUACUCUGAGGGUCUUCAUUUCUGUGGUAUUUAAAAUAGGUUACUGCCAUCUAGUUUGUAAGUCUAACAGAAGGCAAGAAGUGUGUAAACUGCGAACUGAUGUGCAUAAGCCAAACGCAGCUCUGAAAUGACAACGUUCAAGACGCAACUAAAGUCACCACUCUGGCGUGAUUCAGAAGUGGGCGAACUCCACCGUCUCCUGUAAACAUGUAACAAGGUGAAGCCUGGAGAUAAACUUAGAACUCCUACAAAGAUUAUUCUCCUUUCUGGAAAAAACUAUAAAUUUUCAACAAGGACAUAAAUGUGAGUGUCUUGUGGAAAAGAAUAAAGCAAACUCCUGAAAAUGUGGAGCAGGUAAAUCUGCAGGAGAGAAAAUCCUCCAGGUAAGGACACGGGCCAAUUGAACCAACGCCAUGAAAACUGCUAGCCUCGACGGCUCUGUUGUAAAAUGGAACGGCCUUCUCCGAGAGCUCCCACAAUUGUGAUAGGAAAGACUUCCAUGGCUCCCACAUGAAAGUGCUUUCUGCUUUUGGAGGUUCUAGAAACCUUAGGAGGUAGAGUCUAGCUGAAGGAUGAAGAUCACUGGGGGUGGGGGUGGGGUAUGUUAUCCUUGGCCCUUUCUCUCCUUUCUCUGCUCCCUGGCUACCAAGAGUCUAACCCUUAUGCUCUGCCACACAUUACCACUGCCAUGUUCUUCCAAAGUGACGGGGUCCAAGGGCAACAGAUUGAACUAUCUGAAGCAGUGAGCCUCAGGCAAUCUUUUCCCUCUUUAAGACAUUCUGUCAGGAAUUUUUGUCACAGUUACACAAACUCAGCUAAAAUGUCCAAAAUGUAUCCACCACUCUACAAUCCACUUGUAUACGGUGUCUUAUAAGUAUAAAAUCCUUAUUCAUGUUCAUAUCCACCAAGGAAGAGUCUCGAGAAUGUUCAUGGCGAUAGCAUAUGACUAAUCCACUGUAUCUACCCAAACGUCCAUCAACGAGGAUGUUGUAUGAAUGAACUCAUACGAUGGAAUGCUGUAGAGGAUUGGAAAUCAGUGUCCUGCAACUACAUACAGCAUCGCAGGAGGCGCAGCCCUGAGGACACCCAAGGCAAACAUCCCCAGCGCUUGGCACACCCAGAACCUCCACCCACCCUCCAUUCCUCGGGAAAACGCGGAUGAUUCCUUUCUCCUCAUCUCUCUCCGGGAUUCUGGGGGAAUGCAUCUAUGAGAAUCCUCUCGGCCUUCAGGGUUGACUCAGUCGUGACGAUGUCAUUUCUCCUCCUCUUGGUCCUUCUGGCCAGCUUCCCUUGCUCCUCUAAAACUUUCCAAGGCAGAGUUCUACCUGUUCUCACCGCAGAACUCCUCAAGGCCAGGGAGACCCUGAAAAGAGAGGAAGCCAAAGAUGCUGGAGAUUUGUGUCUAUUGCGUUUGGCUCCUCUGUGUCCGGGCUCAGCAGGGCAUAAAUAGAUAAUCAAAGAUUCUUUUCUUUACUCAGACUUCUAUAGUCAGAGGCCGAGUCUUCUCUUGACUUUAUUUUUUCACUUGAUCUUAGCCAAAAGACCGAGAAGCCAUUUGACUUUGCUUCUUUAAACUUUCUAGAUUGCACUGAGAAUUCCUCCAGUGUUAUUUGGAAAUGUUUAAAGCUUUUAAGUCAACAGCCCCAGCAGUUAAUCAGAAAGUUAUGUGUGCAUUAAUAUAUAUGCUGAGAUACUUAAAAAUACAACCUUUAUGAUCUUUUACAGCGUAUGUAUGUGUAUGUGCGUCCACAUGUGCCAAGAGAAAUACAUAAUUGCAUGCAUAACCGAUCUAAGGAGCUAGGCUAGGGGAUUGGCCAGCUCACUGGCAUAGGCCUGAGUUUAAUUCCAGGAGUAACUUACAUGAUGAAUAUCUCUCUCUCCCUCCCCUAGCCCUGUGUGUGUGUGUGUGUGUGUGUGUGUGUGUGUGUGUGUGUGUGUGUGUGUGUGUGUGUUUGAGUAUAAGCGGGUAGGUUCUGUGAUCCACUAAACAUGGUCCCUGCCCCUCUCCCCCUCCAGUCUCAUGGAUGUGGCUUCCCCAAGCCCAUCUAGAUCACAUGAAGUUUUCAACCCCGUUAACAGAAGAAAUUACAACGAUCCAAAGUUUUCACUGGAAGUUAAGUAAGUCUGGAUUCUUGGUACAUAGCAUGUUGAUCUCAUGCAUAGCAUCAGACAGUUUAUAGAACUGUAUUCUGUGCUUGAAAUCUGCAAAUCUGGAGUGUAUACCCAUAUACACAUGCAGUAGUAACUGGGCGGUAGGAUGGAUAUGUAAAUUAAUUUGAUUGUCCCAAUCAUUUCACAAUGUAUAUGUAAAUCAAAUUAUUGUGCUGUGCAUCUUGAAUAUACAUGUUUUAUUUGUCAAUUGUACUUCGCUGAAUCUGGAAAAAGUGAUAAUAAUUGUGGACAAUUUUGCAAUCAAUGUCUACUAGUGUGAAUGACAUUAGGAUUUAUUUUUUUUAAGAUGGGGAUAGCAUUGUGCUCAGGUAGGAUUUACAGGUAGCAUUCUCUGAGACCCUCAUGGAUUGCAACUGUUCACCUGUAAAGAAUCUAGAACUAGGUGGUGGGCUAGCUAUGGGCUGUAAGCUGUGAACUGUCCCCUCCUGGGAAACAGGAAAGUCAGAUGCGCCUGGUGCCUACAGCCAAACCCUGCAAUCCUACAUCACCUUGGGUUCUGCCACUUUAUCUCCAUGAGUUUUUGUUCAUACUCUUUCCUGGGAUCCCCACCUUCUCAGGAAGGCUUUCGUGAUCCUACCUGUCCUUCAUGCUGUUUCAUGUGGCCUCAAGUUCUCAUGUUGAAAACCGACUCUCAGUGCUGCAGGGCCGAGAGAGACCUUGAAGAGACAAUCGUGCUGCUCCUUCUGAGGCCCUGAGUUUGAUUCCCAACAUCUGGCAGCUCACAACCACCUGUGAGGGCAACAUCAGGGGAUGUGAUACCUUCUCCUGGCCUCCAGAGGUACCCGUCCUCAGGCAGCUCUCUUAUUAAGACCUUGGAAUCUAUUAAAAGUCUCAUUUUGAAACAAUAAAGCAAGAGGAAGAAUUUAUGAAUUGUAGAUCUUCAGCAUUAACCCAACAACAGCCUUGGAGAGGAAAAGGAUUCUUCAGAGAGAAAAAUUAAUUCCUGCCAAGAAAAAUCUAGGAACAUAAGUUAGCGAGCCCUACCAGAUGCCUCUGACUACGCUGAGCAGGAACGAGGUACAUUCUAAUUUCUCAGGAAAAAGAAUUAUAGGCUAGCCUGUGCAUCGGGCAGCGUCCAGAAGGUUCCUCGGCCAGGUUCUCAAUCACAUGUGUAGCCCACAGUGAUGUCCUCCACAUCCAAGACCCCCUCUGAUCUUUGGAUCUGAUCGGUUCUGCGUUUGUCACCACGACUGAUGCAUCCAGACAUAACUCACCUCCUCCGAUCACUGGCGUAAUCUGCAUAGUGGAAGGCCAUGUUGUUUGCAAGAUUGGCUGUAAUGAAGCCUCAUGUCAGUGCCUGCCUGUCUCUGCAAUGUGAUGGUGUUGUCUACCACUAAGUGGUGUGAUCUAUUGAUUCCUCCCUGCAAGAGUUGAGAAAAACACUUAUCAAAAGAAUGCUAUGGAUGUGAUAUUUUGGCAACAGCUAAGCUUAGGCUUUAAGAAACCUUGCAGCUUCCAGUCUCACUGUCUUAGAACACAGACCACAUCAGAUAAGAAAGCCCAGGCUAGCCAUCUUGAAGACCAGACCUCUCAUUGACAGAGAACAGCUAACAGCCAGCAACAACUGCUAGUUGUAUUUUUGAGGACCACAAAACCAACAGAAUGUAUGCAGCCACUCCUUGAUAUCCGUUUACACUGGACUCUCUAGUUCCUGUCACACUGCCAGAUGAGAGUCGCUGCCCAAGUGACCCCAGAAGCGACCAAGCAGAAGAGCCACCCCACUGAGCCCAGCGCAAGACACUGACCUAAGAAUCAUGAACAAAUAAAACCGCUACGAUUUUGAAGAACUCAAGUUGGAGCCGUUUGUUACACAGCAGUGGGUGGAUGAAGAACAAUGAUAGAUACUUUAUAUCUGACACAAUGGCUUUAGAAAACUGACUGUUCUAACCCCUCUAACAACAGCCUCUGGGAUGGUGUUAACUUGUGAGGCUAAGAUGUUUCUUCUUGUUUCCUCCCCACAGCACCUUGUCACCUCUCACAGCAAUUCACACUGAGACUGGACUGUUUAACUUUGCUUUGCCAAAAGGAAUAAUAAAGGUCCUGAAAUGAUUGCUCAGCAACUGGCUGGCCCCAGGACGACGAUGGGUGUGGAGAUGGAAGGCAUCCCCAGUGGACCUCCUCUGCCCAGAUGAGUUGUGCCUAUGCUACCCAGCUGCAGCGCCAUUGCCAAGGGCCUGGAGCCUUCUGGGAGGCCACUGGGACAGGGACCGUUGGACACGAAUAGGGAUCUCCAGAGAAAUGAAACCAAAGAUGCUGGUACCCAAGAGGACUGGUUCAAAACCCACUGAGGAUGUCCAACUAUGCAUCAGAUGAUGUAGCUUUGCAUAGAACCCACACACAUCCUGCUAUAUUCCUGAGUCACCUCUAGCUUGCCCACAAUAUCUAGUACAGGGUAAAGGCUAUGCAGAAAGUUGUUAUGGUGUAAUAUUGAGGGGCUAAUGACAAGAAGAAAAAAAUCUACGUGAUCCUUGAGCACCAUUGUCUCCUGAACAUUUUUCAUGUGUGGUUGGUUGAAUCUGGGUAUGAAGCCUGUGGCACAGACCCGCUCCAAGGCAGACUGGAAGGAUGGGGAUACAGGCAAGUGUUUCAUUUUGAGUUCAAAGAUUGUCUGUGUGGGAGGUCUUCCUUUUUCCAUUACAUCCUUCACCUAGUUGGAUGAGGCUCACCCAUGUUAUUGAGGAUAUUUCAUUUUCCCCAAUGGCUAUGGACUUGCACAUUAAUGUUAUCUAAGAAAUGGCUCAGAGGGGUUAUGAGUGUAACUCAGGUGAUAGAGUCCUUACUUAGCAUGUGCAGAGCUCUGGGUUCAAUGCCCUGGACUGCAUGUAACCCCCUUGUGGUAUAUACCUAUAAUCCUGGCACCGAGGAGGUGGAGAAAGAAAGAUCAGACAUUUAAGGACAUUCUCAGAAACAUAGCAAGUUCAAGAUAGCCCUGUGCUGCAUUAGAUUGUCUCAGAAAUCUAAACAAGCAAGAGAGAGAGGGGGGAGGAGAGAGAGAGAAGGAGGAGAAGGAAGAGGAGGAAGAAGAGGAG